rnacentral:tRNA from 1 species
GUUUUAGUAAUUUAAUUAAAAUAUUGGUCUUGUAAAUCAACAUUAAGGAUUCCUUCUAAAACU